rnacentral:rRNA from 1 species
AGAGUUUGAUCAUGGCUCAGGACGAACGCUGGCGGCGCGCUUAACACAUGCAAGUCGAGCGAUAACCAUGGCUUCGGCCAUGGGGAGAGCGGCGAACGGGUGAGUAACACGUGAGCGAUCUGCCCUCGACACUGGGAUAGCCCGGGGAAACCCGGAUUAAUACCGGAUGGCCUCUCGAGCCCACGGGCUCGAUAGAAAAGGUGGCUUCGGCUUUCGGUCGAGGAGGAGCUUGCGGCGGAUUAGCUUGUUGGUGAGGUAACGGCUCACCAAGGCGACGAUCCGUAGCUGGUCUGAGAGGACGAUCAGUCACACUGGAACUGAGACACGGUCCAGACUCCUACGGGAGGCAGCAGUGGGGAAUAUUGGACAAUGGGCGAAAGCCUGAUCCAGCCAUGCCGCGUGUGUGAAGAAGGUCUUCGGAUUGUAAAGCACUUUAAGUUGGGAGGAAGGGUUGUAGAUUAAUACUCUGCAAUUUUGACGUUACCGACAGAAUAAGCACCGGCUAACUCUGUGCCAGCAGCCGCGGUAAUAC